rnacentral:lncRNA from 1 species
AUGAUAUAGAAUCAGACAAAGGGAGAGAGGCCACACAUACUCAUGAAGUAAUAAUUGUAUUCAAUUGUGACAUGAAGUGCUACACCAAAACUAUGAGAACGCAACGACUGAAAAUUUAAAGCAGCUUCAAACUGAAUGCUCAAAUUGUAAAAUCACCAAGAAAUGUCACUCAGUUCCAUGGAGAUCAUUGGCUACCAGUUCUUGGCAUGCCCUGCAAAGCAAUGAGAGGAAGACACUCUUCAUCAUAUCUCCCAAGAACAGAGACGAGGAUACAUGCAGCAAGAAGUGCACAAGUUAUUCUAUCCGCAUUUAAUAACCUGUUAUCAAAGAAGCAUACAUGACAUACAGGUUAUUCUUGUGCCUCAAUAAUUAAAACUAAUGAUGUUGUACAAAGACCAUGGAUGAAGGGGCAAGGAGAACAGUAGAAACAUCUGGUAUACUUGGAGGUGGUACAUAGACGACUCGGGAGUGACUUCUUCUCAAUGCAGAGGAGCACGAUAAUCGAUGGUGCUGCUUCAACAUGUCCUUUUCUUAGCCGCAGCUGUGUCCUGUGAGGCACAUUGAGUUAUCAAAUCCUAUUUUCACGUCAUAACCAGAUAGAGGGAAGAGAGCACCGUAGGCAAAUACAAAGCUAGUGUACAAUUGUUCAAAUGUAAAUGCAUGGCAAAACCGCAGAUACAUAAAACAUGAGACCCAAUAAAAAUUCAGAUAUAGAAAUGUGAGAUACAAAGCACCAUUUUACAAUAGCCACAAAGGAAACCAACAAUGGCCAGCAUCGAGUAGUCACCCAGGAGCUUGCUGGCUAGCACCAUCAAUGAUAGCCACCCUAGGUUCUAUCCUCGGAUCUACCUUGAUUGAGGCAUCACUCUUUUCUAAUGGCUUGGACACCCAACAACAAUCAACAAAAGGUUGACCUAUAAACAACUAGAAUAAAAAUCAGGAUGACCUUAAAAAUAUGUAUUCAAGAAGAUGAACACAACAAUAAGAAGUUCUGGCAAGAUAAAAGUCUCAAUUUAUGUUGUUUGAAUAGAUAGACACAUGUAAUAGUUUUUCCUUUUCCCUCUUGGAUUUCUUAAAAAGUGUGUGCAUAUGCUAGUUAGAAGUUAGACCAACGACGCACUCGAAUCAAAACAGGAAUAAAUCAUCCGUGGCGAGCAGAAAACAAAUGAUCAUAUCAGGGCUCUGCCAACAUACAGCUAAGUAAACUGACCAUAAAAUGGAUGAUCUAAUUAGGGUAUGCCGACCAACAACCUAGAAAACUAAAAUCAUUUAUGUUUUUCAUGAUUCAGCAAUGGUGCCUGAUGUGUAGAUCCAUCCAACUAAAUUUACAAUACUGGCAUGCAACCAAUAUAUACUGAUUAUUCAUCGUGCUCUCAGUAUAUGUAACUCAGUUGCUACUCUGAUAUGUGCAUGGUACACAAAGCAGCCAGACCCUGCAUCCAAAGAAAUAAAAGGAAAAUGCAAGAAAAGUGAGUACCUAGGGAAAUAGUAACCGCAGUGUCCCUAUUUAUAAGCUGCUUCCUCUGAAUUCAUAUUUAUCAGCUGCUUCCGUUGACAAUAACCUAAAAGAACACCUGGUACAUUAACCUUAAGUGUAAGCACAUAACACAAGCAUGCAACAAUUCUUCAGGAUAAAGGGUGAAUAGCGAUGUGCAUCAAUUACCAGGUCAUUUAAGUUAAAUAACCAUUAGACAAACACCAAAGUUAACUGUAUGGCAACCACUUAGCUUCAGACAUUGCUACCUUUCAAUUGGAAAAUAUCACAACUCUGUAUGCAGAUGCAUGGGCACUAACAAAACUUCCAAUACUAUAGCACCUAUUAUUUUAAUUAACUCUGAUUCUAUC